CUGCGCCACGAGUGGGAACCACGAUUAUUGGGCCUAAAGCGUCCGUAGCCGGUUAAGUAAAUUUCCUGUGAAAUCAUCAGGCUUAACUUAAUGGUGUGCAGGAAACACUGCUUAGCUUGGAACUGGGAGGAGCUGGAAGUAUGCAGUGGGGAGCGGUAAAAUGCUAUAAUCCUCUGUAGACUACCUGUGGCGAAGGCGUCCAGCUAGAACAGAUUCGACGGUGAGGGACGAAAGCCAGGGGAGCGAACCGGAUUAGAUACCCGAGUAGUCC
rnacentral:rRNA from 1 species